rnacentral:rRNA from 1 species
UAUCUCUGUAGAGUCUGCAUAUCAAUAAGCGGAGGAAAAGAAACUAACUAGGAUUCCCUUAGUAACGGCGAGUGAAGCGGGAGGAGCUCAAAUUUGAAAUCUUCAAGGUUCUACCUUGACGAAUUGUAGUUUAAAGAAGUGUUUUCUGUUAGAUGAGUAGCAAAAGUUCCUUGGAAUGGGACAUCAUAGAGGGUGAGAAUCCCGUAUUUGGUUAUUCAUUCUAGCUUUGUGAUACACUUUCAAAGAGUCGGAUUGUUUGGGAAUGCAGUCCAAAAUGGGUGGUAAUAUUUCAUCUAAAGCUAAAUAUUGGCGAGAGACCGAUAGCGAACAAGUACCGUGAGGGAAAGAUGAAAAGAACUUUGAAAAGAGAGUUAAAGCAGUACGUGAAAUUGUCAAAAGGGAAGCGUUUGACACCAGUGUUGUUUUCUCGAAAAUCAAUUAAAAAUGGCGGGAUUUUGUGUUGUAUUGACUUUAUCAGCUUUCUGCACUUUUUUCCUGUCCUUUUUAAUGCACUUUUCGUUUAACAAGUCAACAUCAAUUUCUUUUGUUGUAAAAGGGUCAUUGGAAGGUGGCUUUCUUUUCGGAGAAAGUGUUUAUAGCCUUUGACUACUGCAAUCGGAGAGAUUGAGGUCUGCAGCGUAGAUCCUUCGGGGUUAGAUGCAUUUGUGCUAAGUUAUAGCCUUUCAUAGACAACUUGUUGACUAUGAUCAGUCAUGUAGCUUACUCGCUUAUGUCAUUUUACCUACGCUUAGGAUGUUGAUGUGAUACUGCGAGC